rnacentral:tRNA from 1 species
GGAUUGUGGCUCAGUGGCAGAGCACUUGCCUAGCAUGUGUGAGGUACUGGGUUUGAUCCUCAGCACCA